rnacentral:rRNA from 1 species
UACAGAGGGUGCGAGCGUUAAUCGGAAUUACUGGGCGUAAAGCGCGCGUAGGCGGCUUUGCAAGUCGGGUGUGAAAUCCCCAGGCUUAACCUGGGAACUGCAUUCGAGACUGCAUUGCUAGAGUAUGGGAGAGGGAAGUGGAAUUCCAGGUGUAGCGGUGAAAUGCGUAGAUAUCUGGAGGAACACCGGUGGCGAAGGCGGCAUCCUGGACCGGUAUUGACGCUGAGGCGCGAAAGCUAGGGGAGCAAACGGG